AACGAACGCUGGCGGCAUGCCUAACACAUGCAAGUCGAACGAGACCUUCGGGUCUAGGGGCGCACGGGGGCGUAACGCGGGGGAACCUGCCCUUAGGUUCGGAAUAACUCCCCGAAAGGGGUGCUAAUACCGGAUAAUGUCUUCGGACCAAAGAUCUAUCGCCUUUGGAUGGGCCCGCGUUGGAUUAGCUAGUUGGUAGGGUAAAAGCCUACCAAGGCGACGAUCCAUAGCUGGUCUGGGAGGAUGAUCAGCCACACUGGGACGGGGACACGGCCCAGACUCCGACGGGAGGCAGGAGUGGGGAAUAUUGGACGGUGGGCUAAAGCAGCAUCCCGCCGUGCCGCGUGAGUGCUGAAGGCCUGAGGGUUGUAAUGCUCUUUUACCCGGGAUGAUUGUGAGUGUUCGGGGAGAAUGCGCCCCGGAAAACUCCG
rnacentral:rRNA from 1 species